rnacentral:lncRNA from 10 species
GCAGCUUGGACACUCACUCUCACUGUGAUCCUCUACUUUUCAGUACGUUCCAGCCCAUGCUCCGCCCCCAGCUGCCACCCAGCCUCUUGGUCACUGAGGCCCCAGGACUGGGAGCCCUCCACAAACCAGAAAGCCCCAUUCUGCAGACUUUAUGGGCAGAGGACAUUAGCAUCCCUGGGGUCAUGUGGCUGAGGACAAUUCCUCUCCAGGGGACUCCCACUCCAAGAGACAAAUUUUGAGGGAGGUAACAAUCCCCGGAGCCAGUACAACCUCACUGAACAAACGGCUGCCUUGUCGGUUAGCCCAGGCCUGGAGUUGGCCCUGGGCAACAUUGCAUGGGGUCUCCAGUCCCUGUGUUGAAGCUUCACACCCAUCUGGCUGCUGCCACCAGCUGCCGCUCUGGGACCCACCCUCCUGCCCUGCUCUGGCCUCCAAGACAGAGCACUUGUCACCACCUGACGUAAUAUGUUUUUACUUGUUCAUCAUGUGUUUCUCAAGAAGAAUGUGAGCUCCAUGAGGGAAGAAACUUCAUUUUGUUCUCUGCUAUAUUCUUUAAAUACUGCCUGGUACAUGAGCCUGGAAUUCAUUCUUUCAACAAAUAUGUGAUCUGCACCUAUUGUGGGCUAGUCAACAGCUGUGCCUUCAUGAAGAUUACAGUAUAGCUGGAAAGAAGAAUAAUAAUCUCGUAAACAAAUGAAUGAAGGGGAACCCACAUUCCUCCCAAUUCCCUGGGCGUUCUGGUAUGAGGAGAGGACUCAGAAUGGAUCUGAGUGGUAUGCUACAGCCCUCUGCAUACACUAUACAUUCAUGGUUUUCAGAAUAAUGCUUAUCCCCAACUUACAGCUGAGAAAGAUGAGGCUCAGAGAAGAUUUAAAGUUCAAGUCUCUCUUUCCCCACAGACCUUGCUCAGUUCCCUAGUCCACAAGGGUACCAAUGCCUCCCCAGACUUGCUCCCCAGCCCUGACUCUACUGAGCUCGAGACACAAAUAGUCAAGUGCUCUGGUCCUCUCCCAUGAAUGAACUCCAGGCAGCUCACUUAGGAGCCUCAAAGCUGGACUCUUCAUCCUCCCCCAUCCAGCUCCUUCUGCUUCUAAGUCCUCUUCUCACAAGGGCACCAGCACCUGGCCAUGACUUGCACCUAAUGAAGCAGGUGUCACCCUGGAUGCUUCUCUUCCUCGUCUACCUCAAGGCCAAUUUGACCCCAAAUCCCAGCAACAGUCUUCUCCAUAGGCCUCCUCUCCAUUCUCAGGACCAGACCUGGCCAUGGUGUCCUGGACCCACCACCUGGUGCCCAGCCUCAGCUGCUCACCUCUCUCCACCCUGCAGCCCUGUCUAGAGGUUGCCUCUGACCUCGUCACUCCUUUGCUUGAAUCCCUAUGCUGGCUCCACCUGCCCACAGUUUGAAACCCAUACUCCUUACCAAAGCCUUCAAGGUCCUGCACAGUCCCUAUGCCUGCUGCCUACAACACACACACACACACACACACACACACACACACACACACACUGGGACCCCCCACCCUUCACUCCUGACACUCUGAGUGAUGGUGGUCCUCAGUGUUCCCUGACAACAGGUGAGCAGAGGACAGCUGAUAACCUUAGCCACUCAGGCCCCUCUCUGACCCAUCAGUUUUCCAGUAAAAACACAUCCUAAGUUCUAGGUCAGGUGCAGCUCAUCCCUGAUUCUGGAUGCUCCAGUCACCCUCAGGUGAUGCCUGUUUACAUCUGAGACUGACCAACAAUGUCACAUCACUCCUGAGGGUAUAAGGUGGCCUGUCGAGGCAGCAGGAGGACCCCAGGCUUCUGGACCAAGAUGACUUAGCUUUAAAUCCUAGCAAGAAAUCUUACUAGGUCCAUGACUACGGUGGUGUUAAAAUGUGUCCAUGCAUUCUUUAACACUUCCUUCAAAAGUUAAAACUUAGUUCUCCUUCCUUUGGGUGUCUGCUGGAUUUAGUGAUCCACUUCUAGCAAACAGAAUAAAGUGGAAAUGAUGGCAUGUGACUCCCAAGACUAGGUCCAAAGCUUUGACUUUGCUGUCUGUCUUGGAUCACGCACUCUGGGGAAAGAGUUGCCAUGUCAUGAGGAUGCUCAAGCAAGCCCAAGGAGAGGGUCCCGUCGACAGAAAACAAAGCCCUGAGGCCUCUUGCCAGCAGCCGUGUGAGUGAACCAUCCUGGACACAGGUCUUCAGCUCCACCAAGCCUCCAGAUGCCUGUGGCACCAGCCGACAUCCUGACGACAGCCUCAUGGCAGCCCCUGGCCCAGAGCCACCCAGCGGUUCCAUUCUCCAAUUCCUGACCCACAGAAACUAUGAGAUAAUAAGUGUUUGUUGUUGUAAGUUGCCAAGUUGCUAUAAAUUUAAUACACAGCAACAGAUGACUAAACAGUAUCCUGGAGCACAUCACUUCACCUCACCAUGCCUCCAUUUCCUCACCUGUAAAACAGAGUUAAUAAGAACAUAUGUAUACUGCUGUUCAAAAGAUUAAAAGAAUUAGUAAUUAGGAAGCACUUAGCACAGUGCCUGGUGUAUAUUAAACUUUCAAAAAA